rnacentral:rRNA from 1 species
UAAAGGGUCCGUAGGCGGAUCUGUAAGUCAGUGGUGAAAUCUCACAGCUUAACUGUGAAACUGCCAUUGAUACUGCAGGUCUUGAGUAAGGUAGAAGUGGCUGGAAUAAGUAGUGUAGCGGUGAAAUGCAUAGAUAUUACUUAGAACACCAAUUGCGAAGGCAGGUCACUAUGUCUUAACUGACGCUGAUGGACGAAAGCGUGGGGAGCGAACAGGAUUAGAUACCCUGGUAGUCCACGCCGUAAACGAUGCUAACUCGUUUUUGGGAUUUAGGUUUCAGAGACUAAGCGAAAGUGAUAAGUUAGCCACCUGGGGAGUACGUUCGCAAGAAUGAAACUCAAAGGAAUUGACGGGGGCCCGCACAAGCGGUGGAUUAUGUGGUUUAAUUCGAUGAUACGCGAGGAACCUUACCAAGGCUUAAAUGGGAAUUGACCGGUUUAGAAAUAGACCUUCCUUCGGGCAAUUUUCAAGGUGCUGCAUGGUUGUCGUCAGCUCGUGCCGUGAGGUGUUAGGUUAAGUCCUGCAACGAGCGCAACCCCUGUUACUAGUUGCUACCAUUCAGUUGAGGACUCUAGUAAGACUGCCUACGCAAGUAGAGAGGAAGGUGGGGAUGACGUCAAAUCAUCACGGCCCUUACGCCUUGGGCCACACACGUAAUACAAUGGCCGGUACAGAGGGCAGCUACCUAGCGAUAGGAUGCGAAUCUCGAAAGCCGGUCUCAGUUCGGAUUGGAGUCUGCAACUCGACUCUAUGAAGCUGGAAUCGCUAGUAAUCGCGCAUC